CACCUUAUAUCCUGGCCAAACACACCUGUCCUGAUUCAGCCACCCUCCUCUGACCAGGUGUUAGCACGUACAGCUUUAGAGGCCACUCCUGGAAGAAAGAAAUGAAACAACCAUAAAAUCUAGCAAUCCCUCUCAUGGGUGUAUAUCCAAAGGAAAAGAAAUCAGUAUCUCAAAGAGAUAUCUGCACCCCCAGGGCUACUGCAGCACUAUUCACAAUGGCCAAGCUCCGGAAUCAGCCUGCCUGCCUAUCCGUGAGAAGAUAAAGGAAUGUGAGAUGUACGCAGUGGAACACUACUCAGCGUAGAAAGGAUGGAAAGCCUGCCUUUCACAUCCCUGAACCUGAAGGACAUUCUGCCAAGUCAGUAAGCCAGACCCAGAAACACAAAUACUGUAUCAUCUCACGCUACCUGUAGCCUAGGCACCACCAUCACACCACGUCUGAAACUUCCCACUCCUGCGAUUUUUUCAUACCUUGGUGAAUGAAAGCAGCUUGUCCCACGGUCUGGACUCCUGUCUGAACUGCCAGUGUUCUUCGCAGCCAACUAAUUAUGCAGAUGGAUGAUGGCUGGAGGGCUAUCUGUUCCUGAUCUGGAUUGAAGACUGUC